AUCUUCGGACCUCGCGCUAUUGGAGCGGCCGAUGUCGGAUUAGCUAGUAGGUGAGGUAAAGGCUCACCUAGGCGACGAUCCGUAGCUGGUCUGAGAGGAUGAUCAGCCACACUGGGACUGAGACACCGGCCCAGACUCCUACGGGAGGCAGCAGUGGGGAAUUUUUGGACAAUGGGCGCAAGCCUGAUCCAGCCAUGCCGCGUGAGUGAAGAAGGCCUUCGGGUUGUAAAGCUCUUUCAGGUGGAAAGAAAUAGCGCUGUUUAAUAGAUGGCGUUGAUGACGGUACCACCAGAAGAAGCACCGGCCAACUACGUG
rnacentral:rRNA from 1 species